UACGGGGGGGGCAAGCGUUGUUCGGAAUUAUUGGGCGUAAAGGGCGCGUAGGCGGUGCGGUAAGUCACCUGUGAAAUCUCCUGGCUCAACUGGGAGCUUGCAGGCGAAACUGCCGUGCUGGAGUGUGGGAGAGGUGCGUGGAAUUCCUGGUGUAGCGGUGAAAUGCGUAGAUAUCAGGAGGAACACCUGUGGCGAAAGCGGCGCACUGGACCACAACUGACGCUGAGGCGCGAAAGCUAGGGGAGCAAACAGG
rnacentral:rRNA from 1 species